CCUUGUCGUAGUUGCAUGUAUGAUCCAUGCGGCUAUAGGGAUCGUCUUGGUCCCAUAGCCACAGGCCACUCCACAGAAACCCUUCAUCUACCGCUGAGUGAUCCGACCAGGACGCGGCAUCUGGAGACAUCACAUUAGGAAAGCCAGAGAGUUUGUGAAGCAAGUGGUUGGAGCGAUGAUGAUAAUAUUGAUUGAUGGUGAUGGAGACAACUCGGGGCAGAUAGUAGAAUCCAAAAUAAACAGAGGCAGACGCAAUAAUGAUGACAAAUAUAGAAUAGAGACGUGGCUUCAAGAAAGGUCAAGGCUUGGAUCUAGAGCAGGGUUGAGGGAAAACCUGCCCCUAAAUCAUUGUGUUAGAGAGUAAAGGGUGAAGGAGCUUGGAAGCGCUUGGUUUGGGAGUUACAGGAAAAGCUCUUAUAUGAAGUAAAAGACCUUUUCCUAAUCCUCCCAUCCGAAAGGUUUUUCAAUGUGACUUUUCCCUAUACUUCCCCUCUUAUCACCCUAAACCAUGACGAAUUAAGAUUCAUGCACCAGCAGUGAAGAUACAAAAUGUUAGAGGCAUUGAUUACCAAAUUCAAUAUUGAAUAUGCUAUAGUCGGCAUUUGUAAUCUUUUAAUGAGUAGUGAUAUGGGACAUGGGUUUUAUAUUCAAUGUUAUGAUAGAAACAUAUGUGGUAGGUAUAAACCAAAUAUGAUAAUUUUUCUUUCACUUGUUACUAUUCCUUUCAUUUGUGCUUAAAAAAUUAGUAUAAGUUAAUUGAUGAGUUGUAGAUUGUAAUAUUGUUGGAAUCCCCUAGAGGACUUGAUGAUGACUCUUCAAGCGAAUGGUUAAAUAUUAAACUCAAUAAUACACAGUUAUAGUGAA